rnacentral:rRNA from 1 species
GAUGAACGCUGGCGGCGUGCCUAAUACAUGCAAGUCGAGCGAACAGACGAGGAGCUUGCUCCUCGGACGUUAGCGGAGGACGGGUGAGUAACACGUGGAUAACCUACCUAUAAUACUGAUAUAACUUCGGGAAUCCGGCGCUAAUACCGGAUAAUAUAUUGAACCGCAUGGUUCGAUAGUGAAAGACGGUUGUGCUGUCACUUAUAGAUGGAUCCGCGCCGCAUUAGCUAGUUGGUAAGGUAACGGGUUACCAAGGCGACGAUGCGUAGCCGACCUGAGGGGGUGAUCGGCCACACUGGAGCUGAGACACGGUCCAGACUCUUACGGGAGGCAGCAGUAGGGAAUGUGCCGCAAUGGGCGAAAGCCUGACGGAGCAACGCCGCGUGAGUGAUGAAGGUCUUCGGAUCGUAAAACUCUGUUAUUAGGGAAGAACAAAUGUGUAAGUAAAUAUGCACGUCUUGACGGUACCUAAUAAGAAAGCCACGGCUAACUACGUG